UCUUUCUUACCCAAAUCCCCAUUUUCAUUUUCCUUAAUUCCCACCAAGUUCUUGAUUUAUUCUAUGUUUCUUGAAACUUCAGAUCUAUAAAACCUGUAUUCUCUUUCAGUCAUUUCCCCUGUUUCCUUUUUUUAUUUUCUUUGUUUGUUUGAGCUUGAAAAGAUAAGUAAAGAAGAGUUUGUCAAGACUCAGACUUGUUCUUUGAAGGUGAACAUCCACAUCCACUGUGAUGGGUGUAAGAGGAAAGUGAAGAAAAUUCUACAGAAAGUUGAGGGUAAUGUGUUUAAAUUGUGGGUUUACUCCGUUAACAGAGUAA
rnacentral:lncRNA from 1 species